rnacentral:rRNA from 1 species
AUACGGAGGGUGCGAGCGUUAAUCGGAAUUACUGGGCGUAAAGCGCGCGUAGGCGGUUAGAUAAGUCUGAUGUGAAAGCCCUGGGCUUAACCUGGGAAUGGCAUUGGAUACUGUUUGACUAGAGUGCAGGAGAGGAGGGUGGAAUUCUCGGUGUAGCGGUGAAAUGCGUAGAUAUCGGGAGGAACACCAGUGGCGAAGGCGGCUCUCUGGACUGACACUGACGCUGAGGUGCGAAAGCGCGGGUAGCGAACGGGAUUAGAAACCCCAGUAGUCC